rnacentral:rRNA from 1 species
AUUGAACGCUGGCGGCAGGCCUAACACAUGCAAGUCGAACGAGUGGCGGACGGGUGAGUAAUGUAUGGGAAACUGCCCGAUGGAGGGGGAUAACUACUGGAAACGGUAGCUAAUACCGCAUACCAUCGGAGGUGCACAGAUGGGAUUAGCUAGUAGGUGGGGUAACGGCUCACCGAGGCGACGAGCCCUAGCUGGUCUGAGAGGAUGACCGGCCACACUGGAACUGAGACCCGGUCCAGACUCCUACGGGAGGAAGCAGUGGGGAAUCUUGCACAAUGGGCGAAAGCCUGAUACAGCCAUGCCGCGUGUAUGAAGAAGGCCUUCGGGUUGUAAAGUACUUUCAGCGAGGAGGCGUUACUCGCAGAAGAAGCACCGGCUAACUCCGUGCCAGCAGCCGCGGUAAUUC